UACGUAGGGUGCAAGCGUUAAUCGGAAUUACUGGGCGUAAAGCGUGCGCAGGCGGUUUGGUAAGCCAGAUGUGAAAUCCCCGGGCUUAACCUGGGAAUUGCAUUUGUGACUGCCCGGCUAGAGUUUGGCAGAGGGGGGUAGAAUUCCACGUGUAGCAGUGAAAUGCGUAGAUAUGUGGAGGAAUACCGAUGGCGAAGGCAGCCCCCUGGGUCAAGACUGACGCUCAUGCACGAAAGCGUGGGGAGCAAACAGG
rnacentral:rRNA from 1 species